GAUGAACGCUGGCGGCGUGCCUAAUACAUGCAAGUCGAGCGAACGGACGAGAAGCUUGCUUCUCUGAUGUUAGCGGCGGACGGGUGAGUAACACGUGGAUAACCUACCUAUAAGACUGGGAUAACUUCGGGAAACCGGAGCUAAUACCGGAUAAUAUUUUGAACCGCAUGGUUCAAAAGUGAAAGACGGUCUUGCUGUCACUUAUAGAUGGAUCCGCGCUGCAUUAGCUAGUUGGUAAGGUAACGGCUUACGAAGGCAACGAUGCAUAGCCGACCUGAGAGGGUGAUCGGCCACACUGGAACUGGGACACGGUCCAGACUCCUACGGGACGCAGCAGUAGGGAAUCUUCCGCAGUGGGCGAAAGCCUGACGGAGCAACGCCGCGUGAGUGAUGACGGUCUUCGGAUCGUAAAACUCUGUUACUAGUGAAGAACAUAUGUGUAAGUAACUGUGCACAGCUUGACGGUACCUAAUCAGAAAGCCACGGCUAACUACGUG
rnacentral:rRNA from 1 species